UGGUGUCCUUCCCUGAAUGAGCACUAUUGAGUUAUCUGCUUCCCUUGAUUAACCCUUCAUUUAGAACUACAAGACAAAGCUUGAAAAAAUUGGCCUGUUGUCUUCCUGUUCACAUAAAUCUGCAACCUGGGUGUUACUAAUGUUUCCUCAACCAACUUAUAGUCACUUUUAACUGACAAGUGUAUCAUAACAGGUAUUCUGAUCUAUCUUUUUUGUUAGUUGCAGGUUCAGAAGCGUAGUAAUGAUAUUUGCUAACAGCUAUAUGAAAAGGAGCUGUUAAUAGGUAAAUCCUACCUCCACAUAUACAGGUUUGUUUGCUAUUACUUACAAUUACUACGCUUGGUUUAUCUUUCCCCUUUCCGUAUUGUUAAUGCUUGUGGUUAUAGAUUGACAUUAUUGAAGCAAAGAUCAUUUUUACAUAAAUGUUACAGGUGGCCGCAUGUUAGUAGGCUUGCUGAUUAGGAAUCACAUAAGUAAUUAGCCUCAGUAUCCCAGCCCAAUUAUUCAAUUAAUCAGUUGUUAACAUGGAUACACCGAGCCAAAUUAUAUAUGCUAGAUCAAUUUGUGUUAUUAUUUUUAUAAUAAUCAGAUCCAAGCUUUCCCUGUUGUACUUUAGUUUACCUGUUGUUCUUUGGUUAGCUGAUAAAAUUUAUGUUGUCCUAUUGAGAUUAAAUAUCCGCACUACCCAUAUUAAAGUGUACAGGGUUAUUCCUUUUUUUCGUUUUCACUUUAGCUUCCAUGUCUUGUUUGUUUCUAAAAUUGGGUAUUGUAUGAGGUACCUGCAUUUUCCAGCUUGCUAGAUUUGUUAAACACAUAAUCAUGGAAAAUGACUGAUGAAGAAGAGUUGUUGUUUUUGAGGAGCAAGGUACACGAUAUAUAUGCAGGGCCUCAUUGGUCAAUGGCUCAAUGGAUAAAAGGCCGUGCAUGUUCUCUUUACAAAAAUAAGAGAAAACCUUCAUGUGUUCCAGAUGCUUACUCGUGGUGAUGCCAACCUUUUCGGCUUUUCCUAUUUUAGAAGUUACUGGUUCUGUCAUAUGAAUAUCACCAUUUUUAAUUCUUUCAGUUGUAGAAAACAUUACUGGAACUUGCAUGAGCUUGUAUACCAUUUUGACCUCCUCGAAUUGAACGUUUCAUCUACUGAAGCACUCUGCUUGUGUACAGUUUGUAGGAGUUUGGAGUACUCUGCGCACCUACCUGUAGCGUGCCAUCACAACCACUUGCACAACAAGAGGUUUGCGCGCCACAUGUAAACUUCCUCUCCUUCCUCCCAGUCUCUAGCCACCCAUUGAGGGCUGGCACAUCAUGCCAAGGUGGGUUUCUCUGGAUCGUUCUCCAUCCGCUUCCAGAUCUCUAAUACUCUUAUCUUUCCGCCUAUCUAUGCAAGUGUUGUGGUUCCUUUCUCAUCCUUUUCUUAAAUAAACCUCUAAUUGAGGAGAGCAUCUUCUCACAACUUGUUACUACACUUUCUGGAUGGCCUGAUCUAAUAUUUUUUUUGGAUUUCUGUCUUCGAAGUACUUGACAAAUUUAUUGUAUAGAUAAAUAUGUUGUAGAAAAUGGCAUAGCCGAAUUGCUUGAUAUGUUUAUGCAAUUAAGCUGCUAGGAUAACUUCUGUAUAGUACUUCCUGUAAGAAAAGCACAAUCAUUCUAUCAACUAUACUAAUGAAAAAUGCAUAUAAUGUACCAUGAAAAUGGGAACAGAAUGUUCAAUUACUUUUGUUAAAGUACCGAUCUUCUGUGGUUCCAGCAUACUACAGCAGAUUGAUGAUUAAAGAGUAUUAGUGUUGAUAUAGUCCUCUUGGUUUAAGAUGAAUUAUUUUGUUUCUUUAAUCUAGGAAGCUGCAAAUCCUUUUUGACUUCUGUGAUGUGGUUACCACUACAACACACAAGUAUUGUAAGUACUUCCAAGCCAUUCCGGUAAUUGUGUGAUCCAUGCCUUUCACAAGUUGCAUUCACCAACGGACAUGCCUCAUUCCAGUAAUAUGCGGCAGAAAUAAUCUGUUAUUCAAAUGUUUACUGAACUGCUCAUGCUUACACUAAACAUUUUAUAUUUAAAAAAAUGUCAUUUGUUUUGAUUUUUCAUGACUUAGUAGGGUUCAAUUUUCCAUUUGCCACCAAUAUUCUCAUGAGUUGUAUGGCUGAUACUUCAAUCAAGACCAAUUUCCCUUUCUACUUUUUUGUUGAAUGGAUAGUCUAGCUAUUUGAAGGUAUCAGUACAUAAAUUAAUUUCUAAAAUAAUUCCAAUUAGUAUUUUCUGGCAAGCAUGCACAUUAAAGUUUCACUGUCUGCAAUACAUUAUUUUUGUUGUUAUACCGCUUGGACAACCUGUAUGACUACCCAAAUUAUUCUUUGUAUACUAACUCAUAAGAUUAUCUAGCCACCCUACCAAAAUGGUUGUCUUCAUCAAAAUCUGAUUUUCCUUGUUCCUUUCUAUAUCUCAGAAUUAGUAUUGUUUUUAUUUUUGUCGAUCACCUGCCUAUUUUUAUGGAGAGGUUUGUUAUUGACCUAGGUCCAAAUGUUUCACUAUCUGUUUAUUUUCCUUGGUGCUGGGAUACGAUGAUGAGUAUGAUGAUGCCAUUGGUCCACGUGAUGAUCUUGGUGACACUCAGCUAAAUUCAUCUGUUAGCGGGAGAAAACUCGAUGAUGGUGUUCAUGAGAGCGUAGUGAAGUGAAUGUUGCCUUUGAGAGACACAUCAAAGCAAGUGGAAAUAUUAGUCCAAUUCGAUCCUAGAUGUCACACAUUGCAUGUAUGAAUCAUGGUGGAUUCUAAGAUAUGUUAUUUUGCUAUUUCACUAUAACAUAUAUGUACAUGCUAUUUAAGAUAGCCGAAAGAGGAAAUGAGAAACCUAUCGUAUUUGUUUCCAUUGCGUGUUGAUGUGUUGUUUUCAUUUUUGAAUGUCUGAUGGUUUCAGAGAGAAAUCACCCUUAAUUUUUCAUCUUAUGAUAUGCUAUCUUAGGUGCAAGUUAUUAACUAUGUUAACAUCUGUUUUAAUUUUAUAACUGAAAAUGUGGUUGAUGUGUUUGUCAAUUGACAUUCGUGAUUAUUCUUACUUUGCAC
rnacentral:lncRNA from 1 species